AACACGCUCCUUUCCCACCCCUCUCACAGUUACAAUUAAAUUUACCUCCCAGAAUCUGGGAGGUAAAUUUAAUUGUAACUGUGAGAGGGGUGGGAAAGGAGCGUGUU
rnacentral:miRNA from 1 species